UACAGAGGGUGCGAGCGUUGUUCGGAAUUAUUGGGCGUAAAGGGCGCGUAGGCGGUGCGGUAAGUCACCUAUGAAAUCUCCUGGCUCAACUGGGAGCUUGCAGGCGAAACUGCCGUGCUGGAGUGUGGGAGAGGUGCGUGGAAUUCCUGGUGUAGCGGUGAAAUGCGUAGAUAUCAGGAGGAACACCUGUGGCGAAAGCGGCGCACUGGACCACAACUGACGCUGAGGCGCGAAAGCUAGGGGAGCAAACAGG
rnacentral:rRNA from 1 species